ACGGAAGGCAGCAGUGGGGAAUAUUGGACAAUGGGGGCAACCCUGAUCCAGCGACGCCGCGUGAGUGAAGAAGUAUUUCGGUAUGUAAAGCUCUAUCAGCAGGGAAGAUGAUGACGGUACCUGACUAAGAAGCCCCGGCUAACUACGUGCCAGCAGCCGCGGUAAUACGUAGGGGGCAAGCGUUAUCCGGAUUUACUGGGUGUAAAGGGAGCGUAGGCGGUCAGACAAGUCAGAUGUGAAAGCCCGGGGCUCAACUCCGGGACUGCAUUUGAAACUGUAGGACUAGAGUACUGGAGAGGCAAGCGGAAUUCCUAGUGUAGCGGUGAAAUGCGUAGAUAUUAGGAAGAACACCAGUGGCGAAGGCGGCUUACUGGACUGUAACUGACGUUGAGGCUCGAAAGCGUGGGGAGCAAACAGGAUUAGAUACCCUGGUA
rnacentral:rRNA from 1 species